rnacentral:rRNA from 1 species
UAAGCGGAGGAAAAGAAACUAACAAGGAUUCCCCUAGUAACGGCGAGUGAACAGGGAAGAGCUCAAAUUUGUAAUCUGGCGUCCUUUGGGCGUCCGAAUUGUAAUCUAUAGAAGCGUUUUCCGUGCUGGACCAUGUCCAAGUCCCUUGGAACAGGGUAUCAAAGAGGGUGACAAUCCCGUGCUUGACAUGACGACCAGUGCUCUGUGAUACGCUCUCUACGAGUCGAGUUGUUUGGGAAUGCAGCUCAAAAUGGGUGGUGAGUUCCAUCUAAAGCUAAAUAUUGGCGAGAGACCGAUAGCGAACAAGUACCGUGAGGGAAAGAUGAAAAGCACUUUGGAAAGAGAGUUAAACAGUACGUGAAAUUGUUGAAAGGGAAACGAUUGAAGUCAGUCGUGUCCGAGGGGUUCAGCCGGUCAUGCCGGUGUAUUCCCCUCGGAUGGGUCAACGUCAGUUUGGACCGGUGGAAAAGGGCAGUUGGAAGGUAGCAGCUCCGGCUGUGUUAUAGCCUUCUGUCGCACACGCCGGUCUAGACUGAGGAAUGCAGCUCGCCCUCGUGGCUGGGGUUCUCCCACAUUCGAGCUUAGGAUGUUGACAUAAUGGCUUUAAACGACCCGUCUUGAAACACG